AGGCAGAUGGAUGCUUUGGGGACUGGUGGUGUUGGCUUUACUCCUCAUGUCAUUCUUGUGAAACCAGGAGAGGAUAUUGCCUCAAAAGUUAUGGCAUUUUCACAGCAGGGGCCACGGACUGUUUGUAUUCUCUCUGCCCAUGGUGCUGUUUGCAAUGUUACACUUCAACCUGCAAUGUCAGCUGGUAGUGUGUCAUACGAGGGCCGCUAUGAAAUCAUAUCUCUAUCAGG
rnacentral:misc_RNA from 1 species